rnacentral:rRNA from 1 species
GUGAACGCUGGCGGUAGGCCUAACCCAUGCAAGUCGAACGGCAGCACAGUAAGAGCUUGCUCUUACGGGUGGCGAGUGGCGGACGGGUGAGGAAUACAUCGGAAUCUACUUUUUCGUGGGGGAUAACGUAGGGAAACUUACGCUAAUACCGCAUACGACCUAUGGGUGAAAGCAGGGGAUCUUCGGACCUUGCGCGAUUGAAUGAGCCGAUGUCGGAUUAGCUAGUUGGCGGGGUAAAGGCCCACCAAGGCGACGAUCCGUAGCUGGUCUGAGAGGAUGAUCAGCCACACUGGAACUGAGACACGGUCCAGACUCCUACGGGAGGCAGCAGUGGGGAAUAUUGGACAAUGGGCGCAAGCCUGAUCCAGCCAUACCGCGUGGGUGAAGAAGGCCUUCGGGUUGUAAAGCCCUUUUGUUGGGAAAGAAAAGCAGCAGGUUAAUACCCCGCUGUUCUGACGGUACCCAAAGAAUAAGCACCGGCUAACUUCGUG